rnacentral:rRNA from 1 species
AGCAGCCGCGGUAAUUCCAGCUCCAAUAGCGUAUAUUAAAGUUGUUGCAGUUAAAAAGCUCGUAGUUGAAUUUCGGGGUUAGUACGCUGGUCAUGCCUUCGGUAUGUACUGGUGUUACCGAUUCCUACCUUCUGAAGAACCGUCAUGUCAUUAAUUUGGUGUGGCGGGGAAUCAGGACUGUUACUUUGAAAAAAUUAGAGUGUUUAAAGCAGGCUCGCGCUUGAAUACAUUAGCAUGGAAUAAUGAAAUAGGACGUUCGAUCCUAUUUUGUUGGUUUCUAGGAUUGACGUAAUGAUUAAUAGGGAUAGUUGGGGGCAUUAGUAUUCAAUUGUCAGAGGUGAAAUUCUUGGAUUUAUUGAAGACUAACUACUGCGAAAGCAUUUGCCAAGGAUGUUUUCAUUAAUCAAGAACGAAAGUUAGGGGACCGAAGACGAUCAGAUACCGUCGUAGUCUUAACCAUAAACUAUGCCGACUAGGGAUCGGAUGAUGUUAUUUUUAAUGACUCAUUCGGCGCCUUACG